CGGAGGUACUCGAGUGGCGAACGGGUGAGUAACACGUGGGUGAUCUGCCCUGCACUCUGGGAUAAGCCUGGGAAACUGGGUCUAAUACCGGAUAGGACCAUGCUUUAGUGUGUGUGGUGGAAAGUUUUUUCGGUGUAGGAUGAGCCCGCUGCCUAUCAGCUUGUUGGUGGGGUAAUGGCCUACCAAGGCGGCGACGGGUAGCCGGACUGAGAGGUUGGUCGGCCACAUUGGGACUGAGGUACGGCCCAG
rnacentral:rRNA from 1 species